GCCACAGCCGGCUCUACAGGUAACAGGCGUUUCUUCUCGCGCAGUUUGAACAAAAACAAUCCAGAAGGAACAGAUUUGGUUUUUUAAAAAAAAUGAACAAAAGCCAAAAAAGCCACAAACACAACCUAAACCUUCUAAGAAGCUCGACUACUCCCGUUCUGCACGUUCCUUCCCAGAAGGAUGCAGACCCCCGGUGUCGGCGGGAACCAGGAAGCUCUUGGGGCCUCCCUGGGCCAGACCUGCACCCGGGAAGCCGCCGCAAGGCUUCAGGAGCCCCAGGUCGCCCCAAGGCCGCGCCGCAGGAUUGAACAAAGCGGCGGGUGCAGCAACCUCGGCGCUUCCGAGCGCGUUCGGGGCCGGACGCCCGGCGUCCGGCGCUGGCUCCAGAAAGGCGGCGGGUGUGGGGCGCAGAGGCCUAUCUCGCGCCCUAGCCGCGGCCCGCGCCCCGCCGCAGUCCCCGGGGACGGUACUCACACACGCAGAGCUCCACCACGUACGCGUAGUAGGACCAGACGACCACGAAGGUGAUGAAGAGCACCGGCACCCAGCCCACGACGCGCUGGCAGCAGCGCCACAGCGUCCAGGGCGCCAUGUUCCGCUGGCGGCUGCCGAGCCCCGCGUCCCACCGUUCUGGGGAGCGCGGGAGCCCCGGCGACGGUGACUCGGACGCUCCAGGCGGCUGCUGGUCCAGCUCCCCCGCCUCCGAGGCAGGACUUGUGGGAGCAAAAGUCCGAGGCGCCGCCGGGACUCCUCCCGUCCCGGCGCCCAGCCAGGCCCCGCCCCCACCCCACAUCCCGUCGCCCCCCUCCCCCCGCGUCCGUCCCCGCCAGCCCGCCCGCCGCGGGCCGCGGGCCGCCCCCGGUCUCCGCGUCGUUGGGGCGGGGUUUCCGCGGCCGGGGAGGCGGUGAGGGGGCGGGGCCGCAGCUCGGGACCGCCCAUGGGGCGUGGCGGGGCUGGAUGCGGACAGGCUGGGCGGACGCGGGAGGCCGGGGAAGGAGAGGCGAAAAACACGCCCUUGAUGGAUGAGAGGGACAGGGGAUAGCUUUUGUGGAUCGAGACUCAAUAGGGGAGGGAGACUAUGGAAAUGAUUCCUUAGCUGAUUUGUGGAUCUUGGCCCUCUCUGUGUACAGAACUCGCUCCACUGGGGUUCCUGGGACAUUGAGUAGUUGGGGCACUGUUUCAAACAUGACAAGGCCAUUCCCCACUCAGUGUGCGAAGAAUGCACAUUGUUAGAAGGCUCCUCCUGUGAUUUUUAUGUUCGUCCAUCUUGGCGGAACCCCUCCCUUUCUUGAAGAUGGAACGGUAGAUACCUGUAAUUUCGGGUAGAAGCCAUGUAGGGUCCAUCAGUUUGAUUCGUAACCCAAAUUUAAGAUUGAGUAGCGAGAAGGAAAGGGCAUGUAAAUGACCCUCUCCUUGCCCCGCAAACGACUAAGGAAAUUUAAAGAAUUUAUUUACAACUAGAGGUUGCUAAGCAAUGACGAUAAUCAUAUAGAACCCAGAAGCAUCACUGUGAAGACUUCACAAUGCAAGGUCAGACGCAUUAGAAGGGAUUCCAGACCGCAAUCUUCAUACCAGUUCCUGCUACUAGCAUUCAGUUUUGGUUUCGCCCUGUUGCCAUGCUGGCCCUGAACUCCAAGGCUCAAGGAAUCCCAACCCCUCUCCGCCUCCACCUCCCAAAGAAGUGCUGAGAUUACAGGUGUGAGCCACCACGACCGGCCUACACUGAGCUUUAAAUUAGCUACUGCUCACUAAAGUCUCCAUGAAGAAGACGUCACCCUUUGCUGUGUCAGAGAAAUGUAGUAAAAGCGAGUAAGUAUUUAAUCACUGCACACUGCUGCUUGAGUAAUAAAGCAUG
rnacentral:lncRNA from 1 species